UCCUAUUUCUGUGUGAACGCGUGCAAUAAUAAUUAAAAUGUACACAGAACCACUAUAAGCGAUAAGGUGCGAACGGCUAUCACAUCUAGGGAAUACAUACAUAUGUACAUGCAUACAUACAUAUGUAUGUACAUUUGUCAUGCAUGUAUACACAUGCGAAAGCAGAACAGGCGACUGUGAUAGGGGGCCAACCGAAGAAAAGCAUAC
rnacentral:lncRNA from 1 species